AUUUCCCUUUUUAUACAUCAAAAGAAAAUAUCUAAGAUAUCUCUCUCCCAUCCAAAUCGCGUUUUGUUCAAAGCAUCUACAAGAUACGAAAACGCAUCCUAAGAUCACCCGGUAUUCAAAUUCUGAGUUCCACCAAAAGAGAGAAAGAGACAUUCAUCAUUCAACAAACAUGUCCAUUGUCAUCGUCACCCUCUCAUAACUAAACACUUCAAUUCACCCAUUCAGUUAUUAACACAAACAGGUACAAAUCAUAACCCUAACCCUAAUCCCAACCUCAACCUUAGUCUCACUCCUAUGGUCUGAGUUGUGUUUAAAAUCAAAACCCCUAACCCAAACGAAACGGUAAUGGCGACGAAGUUACACUCUCCUAAUCCAACUUCAUUCUCUUCUCACCAUCACUGACGGAACCCUCCUCCUCUCCGACGAGUUUCUUCUCAAAAUCCUCGCCGCAAUCGCCCGAUUUCCAAACUCAGCGCAACACCAACUCCGUCGUCCGUCUCCUCUGUUCCCUCGCAACCUCUGAUUGGAACUUUCUCCUCUCCGGAAGAACAACAGCAAAGUCUGCAAAAUCUGCGAUAAGUGCUUCUCCAAUGGAAAAGUCAUGGGAGGACACAUGAGACCUCACUUUGCCAAAUUACCAAUUCCUCCAAAGCCUGAAACCAAGAAUCAAGCACUAGAUAACUCAGCCGAGUUGACCUGUCGUCCAAAUCAAUCUGCUUCCUCAUAGACUUCUCAAUCUCAAAAGAAAUCAGCACAAAAUUUUCCAUCUUUCCAUCUUUGAAGCGUAGCCUUUUUUCCUUCUCAACAAACACAAAUAGAGAAAAUGAAUUUAGGCCUUACCCUAAAAACCCAACUCGCAAAAAAAUGCCACAGCAAAUUUAUUGCCGCGACAAAGAUGAAAGCUGAUUUAGAAGAAGUGACUCCAAAACCAAACUCUCUUCCUGCAGAAGAAGCUGCUAGGUCUCUAUUAAUGCUUUCCAAGAACAAAUGGCCAGAAAGCAAGGAGAUCAAGAAUCAAGAAGUGAAGGAAAUGAGGGCAAAAGACAAAGAUGGUAGAGAUGACUUGCUUGUUCAAAUUCCAUCUCAAGCCAACUUCAAGUGUGAUAAAUAUGGAAAAAUAUUUCAGUCUCAUCAGGCUCUUGGUGGGCACAAAGCAAACCAUAAGAAAAAUGACGUGGCAAAAAAAGUGAUGAUGUGGGUGAGAAAGUGUUCGAGUAUCCAUACUGCUCAAAAGUAUUUAAGUCUGUUCGUCCACUCGGUGGACACAAGAAGGUACACUUUUCAUAUAAUAAGGCUAAUGCUCAAAGUAGUGCUAAUCAAUUUGGUAGGAAGUUGGUAAUAAAUCUCAAUUUUCCAGCUCCUAUAGAAGAUUAAGAAGUUAGCCAUGUUGAAGAAUAAAGACUUUUAUCCUUAGUUAAACAAUCGAGAUGUUCAGAUUGUUCUUGGCUUAUGAAUUGAAAGUCCUCUUAUGCGGGGAGGGGGAGGUGGAGUUCUUUAUUUGGGGUAUUUCAGCUUGACAGUGUUUUAAAGUUGUUAGGACCUUAGAGCUAGAUUUGGGUCCAGAUGAGCAAUUUGCACCUCAACUGCCCAAGCCCAUUAUGUGCUAGAAAGAAUAGGAGGAUCCAAAGGGAGAAUGUUGUGGCAGGAACUGAGGGUGUGUGUGACUUGUGCGAUGGUAUUCUGUUAUAUGUGAAUUUUGAGGGGAAGGGAGAGGGUAUUGAGGAGAACCAAAUGGUUUGUUAUGGGCAGAGAACUGAGUUCUCCGAAGGAGCUUAUCUCUAGCAGUAAAAAUUUCUCUUCCACUGUAAUUCUUGUUUUCAGAAAUAAUACAAAUCUUAUUUUCCAUUGUUGAGUUGUUUUCUUCAUUAAUUCUUGUUGUGAGAUUUUGGUUCAUAUCAUAAGUGUUUUAGUGUAUUUAGAUGGAUUGUUUACACUCAGUAGCUCAUGAAGUAUAAAUGUUACUUAAAAAAUUUGGAAGAGGAGUAUAAACAAAAUCAGUGUCUAUAUUCAUAACUUUACUAUGUUAAGAUGCUGAGUAUGCAUAUUUUAUACAACUUGAGUUUUAUAUUUUUAAAGAUAUAGACUCCGUUUCCGACAUGACACCAUACAGCCUUCUCUAUUGCAUGGAUUUUGCUUUUUCCCCCUGUUUCUGCACAGUUUUGUCUGCUUCUCCUUUUUUCAGUCGCCUGGGUCCUAUAGGGGGUACCGCACUUGUGCAGAAGCCCAACUCUCUUUUUUGUUUCUUUGAAUUCAUAGUGACACAUCUAAACUGUUGGUGGUAGAUCUGAUGUUUCUUUUUGUCGUAUCUAUAGUUUCUAAGGUGUCUCUCUUAUAUCUAGUCUUUUUGCUAACAAUGGAUUCAAACAAACUAUCAGAAAUAGCGGCAGCUAUCUAAUUUCGAAACAAGGGAUUAAUUUAUCAAAGCAGAAAGCUUGAAGAAUCUAAAUAAUACUUAUCAAAGGGGUGCUUGGUAUUAUAGCUUUCCUAUGGUUCAACUCAUAGUUUAAAUGUUAAUGUUUUCUUCUCAGAAUCAAAGAAUUUUGAACAUAUAUUUGUAUCAAAACUUCUAUUGAUAUAUAAUACAAAAUUUUUGUUUCUGAUUGUUAUAUGAGUUAGUUACUAAUGGUAUGUGACAUUUGCAUUAAACUACUGGCAAGAACACUUCAUGUUAAUCAAAAUAAAGUUCUCCCUUACAUCUAUAAAUCCAUAAUGUCAAAUUCUUAAAAUGAUUUGAAGCAUGUAUAAUAAUUAUUAACAUUCUGAAAUAAAAAUACGUUGUAUACUUGUGUAUUGAAUUACUGAUUAAAUCUGUAAAUUUUUACCUCCUCAAUUGCUUAAUUAAACAUAAAAAUACUUGUUCUUCAAUAUGGCUAACUUCUUAAUCUUCUGUAGGGCUUGGAAAAUUGAGAUCUACUACUAACUUGUCACUAAAUUGAUUAGCAAUAAUUUGAGCAUUAACAACAUUAGUAUUGGAAAAGUGUACCUUCUUGUGACCACUGAGUGCAUGAGCAGACUUGAACACUUUGGAACACUAUGAGCACUCAAACACUUUUUGAUCUACAACAUCACUCCUUUUGUCCUUUCCGUCAAAGUCACUACCUUGCUCAUUUUUCUUAUGGAUUCCUUUGUGCUCACCAAGAGCUUGAUGAGAUUGAAAUUUUUUUUCACACCUAUCACAUUUGAACUUGGUUGAGAUUGAGUUUGAACAAGCAAGUCAUCCUUACCAUUUUUUCUGUCUUUUGUCUCUAUUUUGUUGAUUUUCUUCAUUUCUCGUUUCUUUGUCUCUUUACUUUCUAGCCAUUUAUCCUUGGAAAACAUUAAUAGAGACCUGGCAGCUUCUUCUGCAGGAAUAGAGUCUGGUUUUGGUCUCACUUGUUCUGAUUCAGCUUUCAUCUCGGCUGCUGCAAUAUAUUUGCGGUGGCAUUUGGAUCUUGUGCGGGUUGGGUUUUUAGGGUAAGGCCUGGAUUCAAAGAUCGAUAAUUAUGUGCCGAUUUCUUUUGAGGAUGAGAAGUAUGUGAGGAAGCGGAUUGAAUUGGAAAAUGGGUCAACUCAGCUGAGUUAUCUAGUACUUCAUCCAUGGUUUCGGAUUUUGGAGGAAUUGGCAAUUUGGCAAAGUGAGAUCUCAUGUGUCCUCCCAUGGCUUUUCCGUUGGAGAAGCAAUUAUCCAGAUUUUGCAGGCUUUGCUGUUGUUCUUCUCCAUAGUUGCAAAAAACCCACAAAUCUGAAUACUUUCUCUCUCCUUUUUUGUGGAUGAGUGUUUGUCAAACUCAGGAACUUAAAAAGGAAUUAAUGUGGAGAUUCCUUGUGUAAUUACGAGUCAAGACAAAAGCAGAGAAUUUUUGCAUUCUGGGAAUAACAAAGAUAAAUUUAAGGCCACGCAUCUUCAGCAAGUCAAUGAUCUUAGGAAAAGCAUUUCCAAGGAAAUAAUUGCUGCACACGAUAUAGUUGAAGAAUUAGAGACUGCAAUAAGGCCCGUAGAGAAGGAGCUUAACGAGCUGCAAGUUAAAAUUAGAACUAUGGAACAUGUUGAACAAAUAUCCAUACAGGUUCAACUAUUAAUGAAGAAACUUGCAUGGUCAUGGAUUUAUGGUGUGGACAAUCAACUAGAGGAACAAAAUAUAAAGAUUGAAAAGUUGAAGAAUCUGAUACCUACCUUCCAGGCUAAGAUUGAUCAACAACUGAUAUGUUAGCCUAUGCGCUUAUCUCUUGGGGAAGUUUUCAUCAAUUAAUACUUAAUACGAUAUGAACUUUCCUUUGUGGCUUGAGAAUAUCACAUUCCAUACUGUAUUCUUAACAUGAAACAAAUAUUGUAUACAGUAGAAAAUGAAAGCUAGGAAUUUCAUCGGGUGUUUGUUUAUGAUGCUCAUUUUGGCAAGAACUGCUAGUGCCUUGUGCAUUGAAUACUUGAAAUCUGGACAAGUUCAUAAUGGCAAAUUAUUAAAUGUAUUUCAAGGGGGAUAAGUUGUGA